rnacentral:rRNA from 1 species
UACGAAGGGGGCUAGCGUUGCUCGGAUUUACUGGGCGUAAAGGGCGCGUAGGCGGACAGUUAAGUCGGGGGUGAAAGCCCGGGGCUCAACCUCGGAAUUGCCUUCGAUACUGGCUGUCUUGAGUACGGGAGAGGUGUGUGGAACUCCGAGUGUAGAGGUGAAAUUCGUAGAUAUUCGCAAGAACACCAGUGGCGAAGGCGGCUCACUGGCCCGAUACUGACGCUGAGGCACGAAAGCGUGGGGAGCAAACAGG